GGCAGGGGACUGCUGUUCCCCUUGAUUGCUCUGUCCAGCUAUGUGGUCAGGGAGUUAAGAAGGUGGAAGUGUCCCCUUCGGUAAAAGUCUUUAGGAGGCUGAUUGUUGCCUAAGAGAAAUACCCCAGGCUUCCAAGGCAGCAAAAGUGACUCACAAGGACCCCCAGCCAGUGUGCUCAAGAGAAGUGGCAGCAGACUUGGCAAGGAUCCCCAGGCAGUGUCUGGUCAAAAGUGGGAGACAACAGUGGCAGUGGCAGCAGCAGCAACAGCAAUAGCAGUGGCAGGAGGAAGAGAAGGAACAAUGAGGAGGUCAGUCAAAGUAGAGAGAAUUAUAGCAGCAUAGUAUAUGGCACCUUCAUACCACCAUCCAACACAGUGGAAGUAGAAAGCUUCACUUAUGAAGAUAGAAUUAUCUGGCUUAACUAAUUUCAAAUGGAAGCAGGAAUAAUCAAGGUUUCAGAAGGAAAAGACAAAAGAGGAAAGACAGGUUUUGUUGUCUUUCUGUAUGAGAUGAAAUGGCAAGACUAAUUCACCUUGCCUAGAAAGUCAACUAUGUUUUUUGUUGUGAGUUAUAUUCUGAUUAAACAACUUGGUGAGGGAAUAACUAGCUGGAC
rnacentral:lncRNA from 1 species